rnacentral:rRNA from 1 species
UACGUAGGGUGCGGAGCGUUGUCCGGAAUUAUUGGGCGUAAAGAGCUUGUAGGCGGUUUGUCGCGUCUGCUGUGAAAAUCCGGGGCUGCAACCCCGGACUUGCAGUGGGUACGGGCAGACUAGAGUGUGGUAGGGGAGACUGGAAUUCCUGGUGUAGCGGUGAAAUGCGCAGAUAUCAGGAGGAACACCGAUGGCGAAGGCAGGUCUCUGGGCCACUACUGACGCUGAGAAGCGAAAGCAUGGGGAGCGAACAGG